rnacentral:misc_RNA from 1 species
GGAUGCAAAGAAAUGGGUGAGGAAAUGCUGAAAUCAGUAGACUCCCAUGUUCUAACUGCUGUUUAACACGGGACCAUAUUACCACAAAAUUCAGGAGCUGAAUACGUUUUCACUGUUGAUCGUCUGUCUUAAGCAUCUGGUGAUGUGCAAUGGAAAAAGAUGUUCUGUUUUCUGCCCACAAUUUUUAGUUGCCAGCUUUUGAAUAGGUAUUGUAUAUUUUUGGGAGUCAUUACUGUGGCCAGAGAUGCUGCAAGAGGAGAACAAAGUUAGAAGUCAUUGCAUUGCACUGAUAGAGAUUUUUAUCAACACUCUGGUUUAAGGAUACCUGUUGUAUCAAGAACGACUGCUAACUUGUGGAAAAUAAAUUACCUGUUUUCAGAUCGAUAUGAAGCCCCCAGUUAGACAAAUCCAUCCAUUAUCUGUAGCAAAUUUAGCAUCUGAGUAAUGACCUUAUGUCCUAAUCUUACGUUAUCCUUUGGGACAGACCACCAUGUGUGGCCCUCUAUUAAAGAUGAAUGGUUUUCAUUUAAUCCAAC